rnacentral:rRNA from 1 species
AUUGAACGCUGGCGGCAUGCUUUACACAUGCAAGUCGAACGGUAGCAGGCCGCAAGGUGCUGACGAGUGGCGAACGGGUGAGUAAUGCAUCGGAACGUGCCCAGUCGUGGGGGAUAACGCAGCGAAAGCUGCGCUAAUACCGCAUACGAUCUCUGGAUGAAAGCGGGGGACCGAAAGGCCUCGCGCGAUUGGAGCGGCCGAUGUCAGAUUAGGUAGUUGGUGGGGUAAAGGCCCACCAAGCCAACGAUCUGUAGCUGGUCUGAGAGGACGACCAGCCACACUGGGACUGGGACACGGCGCAGACUCCUACGGGAAGCAGCAGUGGGGAAUUUUGGACAAUGGGCGCAAGCCUGAUCCAGCAAUGCCGCGUGCAGGAAGAAGGCCUUCGGGUUGUAAACUGCUUUUGUACGGAACGAAACGGUUCGGGUUAAUACCCUGGGCUAAUGACGGUACCGUAAGAAUAAGCACCGGCUAACUACGUGCCAGCCGCCGCUGUAAUAC